UUAUGUCAAUUAACCAAAAUUAGGAGGAAAUUGAUAUAAUUGAUGAUAAUCAGAAUGAGCUCAUUUUGUAUAGAGUAAAAUUGAGGGUGAUAGCAAUCAGUGGGGGUGGUUGGCAAUGGUCGAAUUGGCAGUGGUGGUGGAGUUGGUAAUUAUGUCAAGCAAACAAGUUUAUGAGGAUCCGUGCUAUGUUUUUGCAGAUCUUUGUGAAAACCCUGUCGACGGAUUCUAGGCCGGUCUUGUCGAUGAAAGCAAUCUAUUCGAAUGGAGUGUCAUAAUUAUCGGUCCUCCUCGUACAUUUUAUGAUGGGGGUUUCUUCAAUGCUAUAAUGACAUUUCCACCAAAUUAUCCAAACAGCCCUCAAACAGUGAGAUUUACCUCUGACUUGGCAUCCGAACGGUUAGUUUGCUGUAUAUGUGCUUAUUUCAAUUAUUGGUCUCUUUUCCUUUUCUCCUUAUCAUCCUACACCUGACACCUUCUCUCUUACAAGAAAGAUGUAUCUCUCUUUGGUGUUGUACAAUUUACUCUGAUGGCAAGGUCUUUCAAUUCUUUAUCCCCCUGGUGAUAUCAUAAUGGCUACGAGCUUGCAAGUGAGCGCUGGACACCAGUCCAUACGGUGGAGAGCAUAGUCUUGAGCAUUAUAUCAAUGCUUUCUAGCCCCAGUGAUGAAUCUCGUGCAAACAUGGA